CUGGGCUUGACAUAUACCUGACCGUGCUAGAGAUAGCACUUCCCGCAAGGGCAGGUAAACAGGUGCUGCAUGGCUGUCGUCAGCUCGUGCCGUGAGGUGUUGGGUUAAGUCCCGCAACGAGCGCAACCCUUGUCAUUAGUUGCCAACACGUUAAGGUGGGAACUCUAAUGAGACUGCCUGGGUUAACCAGGAGGAAGGUGAGGAUGACGUCAAGUCCGCAUGGCCCUUAUGUCCAGGGCUACACACGUGCUACAAUGGCCGGUACAGAAGGAAGCAAAGCCGUGAGGUGGAGCAAAUCCAUAAAGCCGGCCCCAGUUCGGAUUGUAGUCUGCAACUCGACUACAUGAAGUUGGAAUUGCUAGUAAUGGCGAGUCAGCAAUAUCGCCGUGAAUACGUUCCC
rnacentral:rRNA from 1 species